rnacentral:rRNA from 1 species
UACGAAGGGGGCUAGCGUUGUUCGGAAUUACUGGGCGUAAAGCGCACGUAGGCGGGUAUUUAAGUCAGGGGUGAAAUCCUGGAGCUCAACUCCAGAACUGCCCUUGAUACUGAAGGUCUUGAGUUCGGGAGAGGUGAGUGGAACUGCGAGUGUAGAGGUGAAAUUCGUAGAUAUUCGCAAGAACACCAGUGGCGAAGGCGGCUCACUGGCCCGGUACUGACGCUGAGGUGCGAAAGCGUGGGGAGCAAACAGG